GACGAACGCUGGCGGCGUGCCUAAUACAUGCAAGUCGAACGCAGUGGGGACGGGUGAGUAACACGUGGGUAACCUCCCAUCAGAGGGGAUAACACUUGGAAACAGGUGCUAAACCGAUACUGAUGGAUGGACCCGCGGUGCAUUAGCUAGUUGGUGAGGUAACGGCUCACCAAGGCCACGAUGCAUAGCCACCCGGAAGGGGGGAUCGGCAACACGGGGACGGUAACACGGCCAGAACACCUACGGGAGGCAGAAGAAGGGAAUCUUCGGCAAUGGAGGAAAGUCUGACCGGGCAACGCCGCGGGAGUGAAGAAGGUUUGCGGAUCGUAAAACUCUGUUGUUAGGGAAGCGGUAUCUAACCAGAAAGCCACGGCUAACUACGUGCCAGCAGCCGCGGUAAUUC
rnacentral:rRNA from 1 species